AGUCGAGCGGAUUUUCUCCUUCGGGAGAAGGUUAGCGGCGGACGGGCGAGUAACACGUAGGCAACCUGCCCCUAAGACCGGGAUAACAUUCGGAAACGAAUGCUAAGACCGGAUACGCAAUACUCUCGCAUGAGGGGAUCGGGAAACACGGAGCAAUCUGUGGCUUAUGGAUGGGCCUGCGGCGCAUUAGCUAGUUGGUGAGGUAACGGCCCACCAAGGCGACGAUGCGUAGCCGACCUGAAAGGGUGAACGGCCACACUGGGACUGAGACGCGGCCCAGACUCCUACGGGAGGCAGCAGUAGGGAAUCUUCCACAAUGGACGCAAGUCUGAUGGAGCAACGCCGCGUGAGUGAGGAAGGCCUUCGGGUCGUAAAGCUCUGUUGCCAGGGAAGAACGCAUGGGAGAGUAACUGCUCCUGUGGUGACGGUACCUGAGAAGAAAGCCCCGGCUAACUACGUGCCAGCAGCCGCGGUAAUACGUAGGGGGCAAGCGUUGUCCGGAAUUAUUGGGCGUAAAGCGCGCGCAGGCGGUUCUUUAAGUCUGGUGUCUAAGUGCGGGGCUCAACCCCGUGAUGCACUGGAAACUGGGGAACUUGAGUGCAGAAGAGGAGAGCGGAAUUCCACGUGUAGCCGGUGAAAAUGCGUAGAGAUGUGGAGGAACACCAGUGGCGAAAGCGGCUCUUUUGGACUGUAACUGACGC
rnacentral:rRNA from 1 species